rnacentral:lncRNA from 1 species
CCUAUCUCCAAAUCAGGUAUUUUAUGAAUAUAACGUGCCUGACUCUCCAAAUGUGUGCUUUGUGUUUAGCUCAUUUAUUAUUAAGCAAUUAAAAAGACCACUGAAUUUGAAAACAGGUAGGUAAAAAUACAGGACCACCAGCUGCAAGUUUCAGGACUGAUUGAUAACAGCAAAGUUCUCUGUUUGUGUGAAAGGAAAGCCACUGAACCUGCAUACAGGAGUCUGCAAGCUGAGCCUCAAAACUCUCAUCACAGGACCGUGUGCUCAGGUUUCUUAACAAAGAACAACCCAUCUUUCUCCUUCCGCUGGUGGAUCCUCCCACUCCGAGUCCUGCGGACACUUUUUUAGAGACAUCAGGUAGACCCAGGCAGGGAGACGAGGAAAGCGGACACAAGUGCAGAGGAAGCAGGCCAAACUGUGCACAGCUUGUUGGCGACUCUACUGAACAUGAGGAUCAAUCUGAUGAGCGAACAAAGCCUUGUGAGGAUUUGAGUUCAAAGUUCUAAUCAAUGCAAUUAUUCCCUUUUCUUU